AUAAUACUCCAUAGAUUAGAGACACUGGAAUGUUCUGUAGUCGAAAGUUCUGGCGCCUUAGGAUGGAUCUGCGGUCGAUUAGGUUGUUGUUGGGGUAACGGCCCAACAAGCCUGUAAUCGAUACGGGUUGUGGGAGCAAGAGCCCGGAGAUGGAAUCUGAGACACGAUUCCAGGCCCUACGGGGCGCAGCAGGCGCGAAAACUUUACAAUGCAGGAAACUGUGAUAAGGGAACUCCGAGUGCCCGUAUACGCGGGCUGUCCAGGUGUUUAAAAAUCAUCUGAAGAAAGGGCCGGGCAAGACCGGUGCCAGCCGCCGCGGUAAUACCGGCGGCUCGAGUGGUGGCCACUAUUAUUGGGCUUAAAGCGUCCGUAGCUGGACCGAUAAGUCUCUUGGGAAAUCCGCCGGCUCAACCGGCGGGCGUCUAAGGGAUACUGUUAGUCUAGGGACCGGGAGAGGUGAGAGGUACUCCGGGGGUAGGAGUGAAAUCCUGUAAUCCCCGGGGGACCACCGAUGGCGAAGGCAUCUCACCAGAACGGCUCCGACAGUGAGGGACGAAAGCUGGGGGAGCGAACCGGAUUAGAUACCCGGGUAGUCCCAGCCGUAAACUAUGCGCGUUAGGUGU
rnacentral:rRNA from 1 species